rnacentral:rRNA from 2 species
AGGUGCGAUCAUACCAGCACUAAUGAAUCGGAUCCUAUCAGAACUCCACAGUGAGACAAGCUUAUGCGAGAGUAGUACUAGGAUGGGUGACCUCCUGGGAAGUCCUCGUGUUGCACCUU